rnacentral:rRNA from 1 species
AAACUCCGCAAUGCGCGAAAGCGUGACGGGGGAACCCCAAGUGCCGUUGGUCUUUUGAUCGACGGCUUUUGUGGAGUGUAAGAAGCUCCACGAAUAAGGGCUGGGUAAGUCGGGUGCCAGCCGCCGCGGUAAUACCCGCAGCCCAAGUGGUGGUCGCGAUUAUUGGGCCUAAAGCGCUCGUAGCCGGGCUGGCAAGUCCCUUGUGAAAUCGGGCGGCCUAACCGUUCGGCUGGUAAGGGAUACUGCUGGCCUUGAGGUCGGGAGACGUCAAGGGUACUCCGGGGGUAGCGGUGAAAUGCUCUGAUCCUCGGGGGACCACCAGUGGCGAAGGCGCUUGACGAGAACGGACCUGACGGUGAGGGGCGAAGGCUAGGGGAGCGAACGGGAUUAGAUACCCCGGUAGUCCUAGCUGUAAAGUAUGCGGGCCAGGUGUCUGGUGUUCCUCGAGAGCACCAGGUGCCGGAGAGAAGUCGUUAAGCCCGCCGCCUGGGAAGUACGGUCGCAAGGCUGAAACUUAAAGAAAUUGGCGGGGGAGCACCACAAGGGGUGGGACCUGCGGUUCAAUCGGAUUCAACGCCGAAAAACUCACCAGGGGCGACAGCUGGAUGAAGGCCAGGCUGACGACCUUGCCGGACUAGCUGAGAGGUGGUGCAUGGCCAUCGUCAGCUCGUACCGUGAGGCGUCCUGUCAAGUCAGGCAACGAGCGAGAUCCUCGCCCUUAGUUGCCCCAGUGGGAAGCUGGGCACUAUAAGGGGACCGCUGGCGCUAAGCCAGAGGAAGGAGAGGGCGACGGUAGGUCCGUAUGCCCCGAAUCCCCUGGGCCACACGCGGGUCACAAUGCGUAGGACAAUGGGUUGCAACCUCGUAAGAGGAAGCUAAUCCCCUAAACCUACGCUCGGUUCGGAUCGAGGGCUGCAACUCGCCCUCGUGAAGCUGGAAUCCCUAGUAAUCGCGUGCCAACACCGCGCGGUGAAUACGUCCCUGCUCCUUGCACACACCGCCCGUCAAGCCACUCGAGUGGGGUUCGGAUGAGGCUCGUUCGAGUUGGGCGAGUCGAAUCCGAGUUCUGCAAGAGGGGCU